rnacentral:rRNA from 1 species
GUUGUAUGGUUAAGUGACUAAGCGUACAUGGUGGAUGCCUUGGCAGUCAGAGGCGAUGAAGGACGUACUAACCUGCGAUAAGCCGUGAGCAGUCGGUAAGAGACAUUACGACUCACGGAUUUCCGAAUGGGGAAACCCACUUAGCAUAAGCUAGGUAUCGCUACGUGAAUACAUAGCGUAGCGAGGCGAACCGGGAGAACUGAAACAUCUAAGUACCCCGAGGAAAAGAAAUCAACCGAGAUUCCCUCAGUAGCGGCGAGCGAACGGGGAUUAGCCCUUAAGCAUCUUGGAAGUUAGUGGAACGGUCCUGGAAAGGCCGGCGAUACAGGGUGAUAGCCCCGUACACGAAAACAACCUUGAUGUGAAAUCGAGUAGGGCGGGACACGUGACAUCCUGUCUGAAUAUGGGGGGACCAUCCUCCAAGGCUAAAUACUCCUGACUGACCGAUAGUGAACCAGUACCGUGAGGGAAAGGCGAAAAGAACCCCUGUGAGGGGAGUGAAAUAGAACCUGAAACCGUGUACGUACAAGCAGUGGGAGCCCUUCGGGGUGACUGCGUACCUUUUGUAUAAUGGGUCAGCGACUUACAUUUUGUAGCGAGGUUAACCGUAUAGGGGAGCCGUAGGGAAACCGAGUCUUAACUGGGCGUCUAGUUGCAAGGUGUAGACCCGAAACCGGGUGAUCUAGCCAUGGGCAGGUUGAAGGUUGAGUAACAUCAACUGGAGGACCGAACCCACUAACGUUGCAAAGUUAGGGGAUGACCUGUGGCUGGGGGUGAAAGGCCAAUCAAACUCGGAGAUAGCUGGUUCUCCCCGAAAGCUAUUUAGGUAGCGCCUCGGACGAAUACUACUGGGGGUAGAGCACUGUUUGGGCUAGGGGGUCAUCCCGACUUACCAACCCCAUGCAAACUCCGAAUACCAGUAAGUAAUAUCCGGGAGACACACGGCGGGUGCUAACGUCCGUCGUGAAGAGGGAAACAACCCAGACCGCCGGCUAAGGUCCCAAAGUUCUGGUUAAGUGGGAAACGAUGUGGGAAGGCUCAGACAGCUAGGAUGUUGGCUUAGAAGCAGCCAUCAUUUAAAGAAAGCGUAAUAGCUCACUAGUCGAGUCGGCCUGCGCGGAAGAUGUAACGGGGCUCAAACCAGGCACCGAAGCCGCGGAUUCACACUUAUGUGUGAGUGGUAGGGGAGCGUUCUGUAAGUCUGCGAAGGUGUAUCGAGAGGUAUGCUGGAGAUAUCAGAAGUGCGAAUGCUGACGUAAGUAACGAUAAAGGGGGUGAAAAGCCUCCUCGCCGGAAGACCAAGGGUUCCUGUCCAACGUUAAUCGGGGCAGGGUGAGUCGACCCCUAAGGUGAGGCCGAAAGGCGUAAUCGAUGGGAAGCAGGUUAAUAUUCCUGCACGGCUUGUAAUUGCGAUGGGGGGACGGAGAAGGCUAGGUGGGCCAGGCGACGGUUGUCCUGGUGAAAGUGCGUAGGUGGUGUUUCUAGGCAAAUCCGGAGACACAACACUGAGAUACGAGACGAACGCACCACGGUGCGGAAGCCAUUGAUGCCCUGCUUCCAGGAAAAGCCUCUAAGCUUCAGAUUACAAGUCAUCGUACCCCAAACCGACACAGGUGGUCGGGUAGAGAAUA